rnacentral:rRNA from 1 species
GACGAACGCUGGCGGCGUGCCUAAUACAUGCCAGUAGAACGCUGAAGGAGGAGCUUGCUUCUCUGGAUGAGUUGCGAACGGGUGAGUAACGCGUAGGUAACCUGCCUGGUAGCGGGGGAUAACUAUUGGAAACGAUAGCUAAUACCGCAUAAUAGCAGUUGUUGCAUGACAACUGUUUGAAAGGUGCAAUUGCACCACUACCAGAUGGACCUGCGUUGUAUUAGCUAGUUGGUGGGGUAACGGCUCACCAAGGCGACGAUACAUAGCCGACCUGAGAGGGUGAUCGGCCACACUGGGACUGAGACACGGCCCAGACUCCUACGGGAGGCAGCAGUAGGGAAUCUUCGGCAAUGGACGGAAGUCUGACCGAGCAACGCCGCGUGAGUGAAGAAGGUUUUCGGAUCGUAAAGCUCUGUUGUAAGAGAAGAACGAGUGUGAGAGUGGAAAGUUCACACUGUGACGGUAUCUUACCAGAAAGGGACGGCUAACUACGU